GAUGAACGCUGGCGGCGUGCCUAAUACAUGCAAGUCGAGCGAACGGACGAGAAGCUUGCUUCUCUGAUGUUAGCGGCGGACGGGUGAGUAACACGUGGAUAAACUACCUAUAAGACUGGGAUAACUUCGGGAAACCGGAGCUAAUACCGGAUAAUAUUUUCAACCGCAUGGUUGAAAAGUGAAAGACGGUCUUGCUGUCACUUAUAGAUGGAUCCGCGCUGCAUUAGCUAGUUGGUAAGGUAACGGCUUACCAAGGCAACGAUGCAUAGCCGACCUGAGAGGGUGAUCGGCCACACUGGAACUGAGACACGGUCCAGACUCCUACGGGAGGCAGCAGUAGGGAAUCUUCCGCAAUGGGCGAAAGCCUGACGGAGCAACGCCGCGUGAGUGAUGAAGGUCUUCGGAUCGUAAAACUCUGUUAUUAGGGAAGAACAUAUGUGUAAGUAACUGUGCACAUCUUGACGGUACCUAAUCAGAAAGCCACGGCUAACUACGUG
rnacentral:rRNA from 1 species